AGGGGAUAUUUCUCUCUCCCGUCUCGCUUCAUCCGUUGGACAAAUCACGGCAGCCAGCCGCUCGCCGGCGCCGUUUAGUUUCUGGUCGUUGGUUUCGAAGCGGGUGGCGCGACUUUAGGGGCUAUGGACGCUGGAUGAGUGGUGGUCGUGUGGUGGCUGCUGCCAACGGAGAGGCGGCGUCGCAGUGGUCGCGUAGAUUAGGGAUCUGAGGUUCAGGGUGGCGUCGUCGCUCAAUAGACGGCGAUGGUGACUGAUAUCGAAUGGGAGACGAAAGAUAGGGUGAGAUAAGGCGGCGAUUUCGCCGAAGGUCGAAAUUGGAGGGGGUGGCUCCCUUUUUCUGCCAUUGCUUGAUUAGAGGAGAGGGGGCCUCCCGGCGGCGCGCGCCUGUGAAGGAGAAGAGAGGAGGAGAUGGGCCGAAGGCGGCGAUGGUGCAUCAGGCUUUUCAGGCGCGGCCCUGGGCCCUUGGGCAAACGGCGGUCGGAGGCGACGCCUUUCGCCUGGGGUGGCGGCUGGCUGGGCGGAUUUUGUCCGUUUCUUCUGAGUGAGGGGGAAGAGAAGAAUGAGGGAGAGAGAGGUCAGCAGCUCUCCAGGGUGGAGUUAGAGACGAGGCGCGCGGCAGCGGCGUGGCGACGCCGGUGGUCGUAGCUGAUAUGUGAGAUGAGAUACACGAGCUAUCUCCAUUGUUUGAGUUUUCUGCUCAAUAACGAUCGAUUGACUCGAGCAUCUUUCAGAUUUGGGAGAGGCAAAAUAGAUUGGUGGUCUUGAGCAAUAGCUUGGAAGAACUUGAGAACGUUGUGGAGUUCGUGGACUCGAAGGAAGGAAAAUUUAGCUCCUGUCUCGUGUAAACCUGUGCGGAGGGCGACGGUGGUCUCACGACUUGUGCAGCGAUUUCAGCAGCCCUACAAUCGGCGACUGCUGUACCUGAGCAAUUGGCUCAAGGCGCGCGGUGGUGGUGCGAUGUCGCUGGCUGCUGUUGCUGAAGGUCCAAACUGGAAGGAAUUGGGUCGUGGUGUUGCCGCCUGAGAUUGAAAGGGAGACGGAAGAGAGGAAAGCGAAAGAGAGGGGUAAGACUGAGCAACAAUUUUGCUGGAGGUCGAGGGUGCCUCUCUUUCUUUCUUUCAGUAUUAUCCAAACUCGAUGUGGCUUGGUUUUUCAUGCGAUGUAUAGGAGUUCAGAAAAGCAGGUAGGGAAAGACGGCGUUGAGUCGGACAAGCAGCGACAGCGGCGUCUGCUGCUGCUUGAUUAAAGAAGGGGGGGCAGCGCGUGCCUGCUUGGGACGAAGGUGGCGGCUGCGACCGUGGCUCACCGCUGUCGCCGGAGGACAGAGGGAGGUGGCGGCGGUUCUUCUCACCUGGCCAAGGGUGGACCUCGGCGGUGGCCACCCGCAGUUUUAGGCUGACCUCAAAUGCAUUCAACAACAAUUUCAAGCUGCAAUUCGUCUUGAAUUCUAGCUCGAAUGUGACUAUUUCAAACUCUUCAACUAGGAUUUACAGAUGAAAUCAGGUGCUUUAAUUGAAGCAUGAUUAUUAUAUCUUUCAAUGCGAUUGUAGAUUUGAGUGAGGAGUUCUUUUUGCUUUUGUGAAUCUGUAUUUCACAGCCUGUAUCUGCGUCGUAUCAUCAAUUUGAAUUUAUUAUUUGUAUUAUCUGUGUUUGCUUGUUUGAGAGGGAGUUAAGCGAGGUAUCUGAGAUGGAGAUGGAGUUGAGCGGCCGGAUAGGCGAGGUGGGCGGCGGCAGCCAGUGUUGCCAACGGCCGCUGCUGAUUUGUGCAGCGAAGGAGACGAGCUGGGGGAGUUAAAUCCAGCAGCUCUCCGCCGGAGACUUCAAGUUGUGAGGGAAUGAGCAGUCAAGGGGUGUCAGCCGCCGUGUGAAAUCUGGUGCCAUAAAAUCUGGAUAUUGACAGUAUUUUGUU